CAUAGUGAUCGGACGUCAUCUCCCAAUUUUGAAUUCCCUGUAUUCGAAGCGGACGAAGAUGAUGUUGAAGGGAUUCCUGACGAGAUUUCCCGACUUCUUGAGCAAGAGAAAAAGAUCACUCAGCUGCAUCUCGAGAAUCAGCAGAACAGCCAACUGGGGCAUUAUCAAAAACAAAAAAGGAAGAAAAAAAAGAAAAAAGAAAAGAGGAGGGUGCGAAAUCAAAAAAAAAGAAAUCAAAAGAAAUCAAAAGAAAUCAAAAGAAAG
rnacentral:lncRNA from 1 species